rnacentral:miRNA from 12 species
CUAGUACUCGCGCUGUGACAUGUG